UUUUCACAUGAGAUACAUAUUAUUUCAAAACCUGCAGCUAUAAACCUGCUGUCUGAAGAGUGCCGUUUAUAUUUAAUUGCAUUUUAACUAAUAAACAUUUACAGGCAAGAUCAUUCUGUAAUUUUAAAACAAUCGGUGGAAAAUGCUUGACACCAGUCGGGUUUUCUGCUUUGUACUGUACCAUGGCUGCAGUUCGGAGUCUCACUUCGUUUAUUUACGUUUUGCUUCCAGUGCACCUGAGACAUGCACAAUGGCACUGUUAGAUUUACCUCCCAAGAAAUCAACAUUAUCGAAGCAGCCUGAGACUAUCUUGUUAGAGAAUGGAACAAAAAGUGGCCAACAUUCACAGAAGAGUGCUUUUCCUUUAUUUUAAUGACAUGGACUAAUUAUGUCUGAAAUAAAAUAAGAUCAAUGAUCUUCCUGGACAAGAAAACUGCUUAAAAGAGCAACAGCCUGUGCUGAAGAAGGUGCUCAUACCUGAUACUGACUUGCAAGGUUUUCAGAAUUGUACAAUCUGUACUCUCUACUACUACACAGUAAAAAAUGGAGUGUCAAUAUUUCAGAGUAAACCUAUUUUAACCUAGAUAGAGUAUUUACAACUCUAUGAGGAGUAAACCAGCUCUAACAUCAGAGUUAAAAGUCAGUGUAAAGUUUGUUAGUCACGCAGUGAAGACUUCACUCCACACAGUGUUGGUUAUUACCAGUCCGCAGGCGUGUGCGGCCUCAGAGCUCUAAUGCGCAGGGAAUUUUCUCCGAAGAGCUGCCACAGUCAGGUAAGUGAAGUUAACAUUCCCAGACUGGUAACAUUGUUUAAAAGGUAUUUUUAAACUAAGUAGCUGUUUAUAGUUUCACUGAUGUCGAGUGAGGACAUGUUAGCAGCAUUUACCCAUAGGUUUAAUGGCAUUCCAGUAGCUACAUGCUAGCAGUUGCUAAAAGUUCAGAUGUUCGUUAUCUUCUCACUGCGUUAAUAUGAACCUAAAACAUUUUAACUAUGUAUUUCUGCUGUCUAAAUAAUAUCAUUGUCACAUGUCAAAUCGCACAGUUUAAACAACUAAAUUACCAUUUAUCAGUAAGCUAAUAAUCGCUAAUUAGCUUACAUAAGCGAACAUACUUUCAGAAAAAGUGGGUAACAUUACCAUAAAGUUAACUUUAUUAGUUUAUAUUAUUUUAAGCAAAUGCCAAAGGCAUACACUACUUUAGAGUUUUGCUCAUUAUUUAGUAAGAAAUAUGUAUUUUGUGUAAAUUAACUGAUAGCAAUGUUAAUGACAUGUUAAGUAAUAUUAAGUAAUGUUUCUAUUUUAUAGAAAGGUUUAAGAGUACGCAAAAACCAAAUCUCUGAGAGAUGCAACCAGAAGACGGAUGAGAAACAUACUUGAGGCUGAGAUGACAGAAUAACAUGGGACAUCUCCCCCUAAAAGCGUAAGAGUGAUGUAUGCGCAGGGCAUUGUUGCUCUGUCUCCAUAUCUGGAAGACCCAUAUUCACAACAUGGACAUAAACAUUACUACGAUCCAGAGAGCAGUUCAGGAUACAUUGCAUGGCGGUUGAAGACCAUUCAAAGAAAAGCUGUGGAGGAAAGAAGCGUCUCAGUUUGCAAAUCGCCCAAAAAUAGAACAAGAUUUCCGACUCCUGUUUUGUGAGGUCACUGGGAGCAAAUUCUUGGAGAGGUGGCCCAUCAAUCUCAAAGCAAAGGCUGUAAAGGAAAGUCAUGGACUUGUCCCCACCUCAGAGCUCUUGGAGUUAAUGUGCAAUGCUGAGUCAGGCUGGGACAGUGACUUGUCUACUAUCUUGCUGCUGCUACAUCUGCUACCACCAUCUGCACAAGGGCGAAAGAGA